CUGCGAGUGAAGCGGGAAAGCUCAAAUUUAAAAUCUGGUGGUCUUUGGCCAUCCGAGUUGUAAUCUAGAGAAGUGUUACCCGUGUCGGACCGUGUACAAGUCUCCUGGAAUGGAGCGUCAUAGAGGGUGAGAAUCCCGUCUUUGACACGGACUACCGAGGCUUUGUGGUGCGCUCUCAAAGAGUCGAGUUGUUUGGGAAUGCAGCUCAAAAUGGGUGGUAAAUUCCAUCUAAAGCUAAAUAUUGGCGAGAGACCGAUAGCGAACAAGUACCGUGAGGGAAAGAUGAAAAGAACUUUGGAAAGAGAGUUAAACAGUACGUGAAAUUGCUGAAAGGGAAACGCUUGAAGUCAGUCGCGUUAGCCGGAAAUCAGCCUUGCUUUUGCUGGGUGUACUUUCUGGUUGACGGGCCAGCAUCAGUUUUGACCGGUGGAAAAAGUCUAGAGGAAUGUGGCAUCUUCGGAUGUGUUAUAGCCUCUGGUCGUAUGCAUCGAUUGGGACUGAGGAACUCAGCACUUGUGCUUAGGAUGCUGGCAUAAUGGCUUUAAUCGACCCGUCUG
rnacentral:rRNA from 1 species